UAUAAUCCUGACACUUGAACUCUGGAGGACUGACAGCUGUCCUCCAUGACAACAGAAGACACAGAAAUCCUCCUCAUCAAAAACAUGACUCUGAUCUGCGUCCUCAUCUGGACUCUCCUCUGCUGCUGCUUCACAGAGUCCAGAGGACAGACCACAGUGACUCAGUCUGGAGCAGUGAGCUCUGCUCUGGGAGGAUCUGUCACCAUCAGCUGUAAGACCAGUCGCAAUAUUUAUUCAAAUCACAUGUCGUGGUACCAACAGAACGAUGGAGGAAUUCCUAAACUACUCAUUUACUACACCAGCACUCGAGCAUCAGGGAUUUCAGAUCAUUUUACAGGCAGAGGAUCAAACUCUGACUUCAGUCUGACCAUCAGUGGAGUCCAGACAGAAGAUGCUGCAGUUUAUUACUGUAUGGGUCAAUUCUACAUCAACAGUCAGUAUUUGUUCACACAGUGAAAAAGUGUCGUACAAAAACCUCCCUCAGAGUGAACAGAAAGUGAAGUGACUGAUACAGUUC